rnacentral:rRNA from 2 species
AGCAUAGCGAUUUGGGAUAAGUCCCUUGGAAGAGGACAGCAUCGAGGGUGAUACUCCCGUUUGUGCCUGAGUAGCUUGUGCGUACGACACGUUUUCUUUGAGUCGCGUUGUUUGGGACUGCAGCGCAAAGUAGGUGGUAAAUUCCAUCUAAAGCUAAAUAUUGGUGCGAGACCGAUAGCGAACAAGUACCGUGAGGGAAAGAUGAAAAGAACUUUGAAAAGAGAGUUAAAGAGUACCUGAAACUGCUGAAAGGGAACCGAAUCGUUUCCAGUGUCUAUAAUCCAUGGUAUAUUUCAUUGGCGUGUGAGUGCGUGCAGCGUUUUGGAAGCGGUCUCCGCUCCUGUCGUUGUUGUGCAUUUGCUUGCUGGUGCCCUGUGCUGUGGUGGGACGUCAGAGUCAGUUUGUAUGUCGCGGGAAAUGGUUAUCAGGGAGGUAGGUCGCUUCGGUGGCUGUUAUAUCCUGGUAACUAGUCGUCGUGGUUGAGACUGAGCUGCC